UCAGUUUAAUCGCCUGUAUUCAGGUCUGCGCAAGGUUUGGGGCAGGGAAGGUUUCUGAUUGGAUAGGGGGCGGGGCGGAUGUUACGUGUUUACGUUUACCGGAAGAAAACACUGUAGUCCUCGCUCCGGAUAACAAGAUGCUUGACGCCGCCGUUCUUAGUGCCAUUUUCGGGCGUGUUUUGCUUAUAUUCUUAAAGCAGCAGUACGACAACAACCUUGUUCUGCUAAUGCUUCAUCUGUUGAGCAGGAGAAGGGAGGUAGAAGACCGUGCUGUGGCGAAUGGAAACCGUGUUUUUACAGGUUUAAAUCGCCGGGUCUAUUUAAUUUGGAGAGGUGGAGACUCCUGUGGAUGAUUCAGCUCCUGGUAAAAACCUCCUGAAUGUCUGGAUCAUAAAUAAGCAACCAAGAUUCUGCCAAAUCCAUCCAAGAGUGUAACUGAAAGGGGAGUGACAGUCUUCCCACUCUGCUCUUGUGCAACCAACAGAGACACAACAACAAGGGUUCCUCCUUGGCUGUCACCACUCUCUCCCCACGUCUUGGAUUUGGCACCGCAGCUGAAGGGGCUGAGCUGUCCUCCCUCUCUGUCUCCACACUGUCUCUCAACCUGACAGUGUGCGGUCCACAUCCUCCUUCUAAUCCUCAUCAUCCACCUGAAUAUUACCA